rnacentral:rRNA from 1 species
UACGGAGGGAGCUAGCGUUAUUCGGAAUUACUGGGCGUAAAGCGUACGUAGGCGGCUUUGAUAAGUAAGAGGUGAAAGCCCGGAGCUCAACUCCGGAACUGCCUUUUAGACUGCAUCGCUUGAAUCCAGGAGAGGUGAGUGGAAUUCCGAGUGUAGAGGUGAAAUUCGUAGAUAUUCGGAAGAACACCAGUGGCGAAGGGCGG